GUUCUAUGAAGCCAAAAUUCAAGAUACAUGCUAUGGCCAUGACAUUCUUUUCCUCAAAAACGUCCUAAAGAAUGAAGUUAAAAGCCACAUGAUCAUGGUCUUAAAGAUUUUAAUAAGGUAUCAUGUGGAAGAAGAAUAAGACAUGUUUGCCUUGGUCCUGAAGAACAGAAUUAAGAAAAUGGAUUUUUAAAAGACAGAAAGGAAUUUCCCCAAAUAUUCUAGGGGGACACAUUUUUAAAUUCAAGGAUCUUUAAGUGCUGACUCUGACAAGUUAUGGCAGGUUGUGAUUUAUCAGAGAAGACAGGGUCAUUCCAUCUCCUAAAAAUGGAAAAUGUCAUCUAAAGAGACUCUGAAAAUUGUUCCUUGCCUGGGUAUUUUGAAGGAAGAAAAUGGAGACUUCGUAUUCGAACCAGAAUCUGCUUCUCUUUUGAGAGUAUGAAUUUGUAAUUUCCCCACUUACAGAGCAUUUUGCCAGAGCACAAUGGUGCAAGAAGCAUGACACUGGUAUUUCAAAAAGCACAAGCCUAAAUGGCAAAAUUCCUGAUGUUCUUCCAGGGAACAAUUCUUUUGGCUCUCCUAGGAAGAGGCUCAGCAUCAUUCAUUAUUCUACUGAAACAUAAUGAUCUUCAGAUGCAUCGUCUCCUUGAAAGGAAAAUCUUUAAUUGGGGAGAAAAUAAAAUAAGAUUCUUGCCGAUUUUCUCAGCGGAUGUGAAACUGGCAGAUGAGGAAGGCAAGAGAACCUAUCGGGGCACUUGGAGAUGACAGCUCAAACUGAGAAUUCCCUUAGCGCAUUCUUUAGGUCAUCUUCUCUACCCGCCCUCCCCAUCCUACCCCACAUAUCUCAAUAUAACUUUUAAAUAAAAUAUUCCAAGUGUUAAAAAA